rnacentral:lncRNA from 1 species
GGGGCCUCCUGCAGGCUAGGCAAGCACUCAACCAUUGUGCUACACCCCUAGCCGGUGAUGGCUACUCUUAAAUAUACAGGAAAGGAAUGUUCUUACAUCCUAAGUGUCUGGGCUUGCUGGCAUCUGCCACCCUGUCCCGUCUCCCUGCAGCCCACGACUGCACAACUGGCCACUGGUACCUGUCCAACUGCGGGGCUGCCGAGCAACGUUUGACCUCCGUGAUCCAUCUCAAAAAUACGAGCUGGGCUGGAGGUUCCCUCUUUUGGGAGACCUUGAAACCAGGAGUCUGGAAGGAAUUUGCCAGUGAAAGGUGGGAGCAACAGACAGCAGCAGGGAGUCGGGGGUGCAGGCUGCAGCAUGGGGAGCAGCAGGGACCGGAUGCCGGGUGCCGGUGGCCUGGAAAGCAGAUCCUUACAGGGAUAGCUGGGUCAUAG